UACGGAGGGUGCGAGCGUUGUCCGGAAUCACUGGGCGUAAAGGGCGCGUAGGCGGUCUGCUAAGCGUGCGGUGAAAGCCUGGGGCUCAACCCCAGGUCUGCCGUGCGAACUGGUGGACUAGAGCACUGUAGAGGCAGGUGGAAUUCCGGGUGUAGCGGUGGAAUGCGUAGAGAUCCGGAAGAACACCGGUGGCGAAGGCGGCCUGCUGGGCCGAUACUGACGCUGAGGAGCGAAAGCGUGGGGAGCGAACAGG
rnacentral:rRNA from 1 species